rnacentral:misc_RNA from 1 species
UUAACUAUUAUAUAGUACUCAGACAUUACUAAACAAAAGAGUUUGGGUUCUCUGGCAGGCGCAGUCAGCCGGAGCCAACGCCUAAAAAAGGCGGCCUGCCAAAGCAACAAAGGUAUGUAUACACGGUUUGGAAUUACCCAUUUCAAAAAACGGGGCGUUCUUUAAUGAUCCUUCCGCAGGUUCACCUACGGAAA